rnacentral:rRNA from 1 species
AGUGAACGCUGGCGGUAGGCCUAACACAUGCAAGUCGAACGGCAGCACAGUAAGAGCUUGCUCUUACGGGUGGCGAGUGGCGGACGGGUGAGGAAUACAUCGGAAUCUACUUUUUCGUGGGGGAUAACGUAGGGAAACUUACGCUAAUACCGCAUACGACCUACGGGUGAAAGCAGGGGAUCUUCGGACCUUGCGCGAUUGAAUGAGCCGAUGUCGGAUUAGCUAGUUGGCGGGGUAAAGGCCCACCAAGGCGACGAUCCGUAGCUGGUCUGAGAGGAUGAUCGGCCACACUAGAACUGAGACACGGUCCAGACUCCUACGGGAGGCAGCAGUGGGGAAUAUUGGACAAUGGGCGCAAGCCUGAUCCAGCCAUACCGCGUGGGUGAAGAAGGCCUUCGGGUUGUAAAGCCCUUUUGUUGGGAAAGAAAAGCAGCAGGUUAAUACCCCGCUGUUCUGACGGUACCCAAAGAAGAAGCACCGGCUAACUUCGUG